GACGAACGCUGGCGGCGUGCUUAACACAUGCAAGUCGAACGGAAAGGCCCUGCUUUUGUGGGGUGCUCGAGUGGCGAACGGGUGAGUAACACGUGAGUAACCUGCCCUUGACUUUGGGAUAACUUCAGGAAACUGGGGCUAAUACCGGAUAGGAGCUCCUGCUGCAUGGUGGGGGUUGGAAAGUUUCGGCGGUUGGGGAUGGACUCGCGGCUUAUCAGCUUGUUGGUGGGGUAGUGGCUUACCAAGGCUUUGACGGGUAGCCGGCCUGAGAGGGUGACCGGCCACAUUGGGACUGAGAUACGGCCCAGACUCCUACGGGAGGCAGCAGUGGGGAAUAUUGCACAAUGGGCGGAAGCCUGAUGCAGCAACGCCGCGUGCGGGAUGACGGCCUUCGGGUUGUAAACCGCUUUCGCCUGUGACGAAGAGUGAGUGACGGUAAUGGGUAAAGAAGAACAGGAUAACUACGUG
rnacentral:rRNA from 1 species